GAUUUCUGGCUUGAAACAUUUUGCCGGCCACGGUUUCGUGUGUUAGUGCUUGGUGUUCUGGCCAUCCUUCCAAUCGCUAUUUGUCUUUCUUCAUUGAUGGGCAAGUGGUAUUGGAUCUUUUACUUUGAAAAAAUUAGAGUGUUUCAAGCAGGCAUGUUUUGCUAUGAAUACAUUAGCAUGGAAUAAUAAUCUAGGACUUUCGGUUCUAUUUUGUUGGUGUUCUGGAGCUGAAGUAAUGAUUGAUAGGGAUAGUUGGGGGUGCUAGUAUUCAAUGGCCAGAGGUGAAAUUCUCGGAUUCCUUGAAGACUAACUUAUGCGAAAGCAUU
rnacentral:rRNA from 1 species